rnacentral:rRNA from 1 species
UACGUAGGGGGCAAGCGUUGUCCGGAUUUAUUGGGCGUAAAGAGCGUGUAGGCGGCUUUACAGGUCCGUUGUGAAAACUCGAGGCUCAACCUCGAGACGUCGGUGGAAACCGUAAAGCUAGAGUCCGGAAGAGGAGAGUGGAAUUCCUGGUGUAGCGGUGAAAUGCGCAGAUAUCAGGAAGAACACCCGUGGCGAAGGCGGCUCUCUGGGACGGUACUGACGCUGAGGUGCGAAAGCGUGGGGAGCAAACAGG